rnacentral:rRNA from 1 species
UGCGGAAGGAUCAUUGUCGAAAGCCCCUACUGAGCGGCAUGACUCGAGAACGUGUAAGCUAAAUACCUUUGGCGAGCGUGGUGCGUUUGUGCACCUCGCUCUCCUUUGUUGUGGUUAUGGCAUCAUUGCGAGCCGGGCUUCCAUGUAUUGGUUGUCCGUUGAGCAGCGCUGCCAUUUGCGGCAACAUAACCGAACUCGGGCGCAAGACGCGCCAAGGAAAAUGGAUAAAAUGUAUUGUCUUCCCAUUCAUUUGCUACGGCAUACGGGUGGAUGGCAAUGUGUCGUCAUCGGCAUAGAUGACUCUCGGCAACGGAUAUCUCGGCUCUCGCAUCGAUGAAGAACGUAGCGAAAUGCGAUACUUGGUGUGAAUUGCAGAAUCCCGUGAACCAUCGAGUCUUUGAACGCAAGUUGCGCCCGAGGCCGCUAUGGUUGAGGGCACGCCUGUCUGGGCGUAGCACAAAACGUCACCUGAAACACGCUCCUCCUUGAGGAGCAGGUGGAUCAUGGCCUCCCGUGCCUUACCUUGAGGCGCGGUUGGUCCAAAUCGGAUGUUUCGGCCGGUUGAUGCCGUGACUAUUGGUGGUGUGAGCCUGGCCUCUGUCACGGUGCGCUGCUGCUCGACAUGCUUGUUUAUAUCUGAACUGCCGUGGUAAAAUCGUGCAUCAUGUGGCGACCCCAGAUCNNNCG